rnacentral:rRNA from 1 species
GACGAACGCUGGCGGCGUGCCUAAUACAUGCAAGUCGAACAGUUGCGAACGGGUGAGUAACGCGUAGGUAACUGCCUCAUAGCGGGGGAUAACUAUUGGAAACGGUAGCUAAUACCGCAUAAUUUGAGAUGGACCUGCGUUGUAUUAGCUAGUUUGUGAAGUAAAGGCUCACCAAGGGGAAGAUACAUAGCCGACCUGAGAGGGGGAUCGGCCAAACCGGGACUGGGACACGGGCCAGAAUCCUACGGGAGGCAGCAGUAGGGAAUCUUCGGGCAAUGAGGGAAAGCCUACCGAGGAAAGCCGCCUGAGGGAAGAAAGUUUUCCGAGUGGUAAGCUCUGUUGUUAGAGAAGCGGUAACUAACCAGAAAGGGACGGCUAACUACGUGCCAGCAGCCGCGGUAAUUC